CGUGAUUGUGUUGACAUAAUUACCCUCACGAGAAACCAAAAUGACAAGGAAUCCUCUGAUCUGAACAACCGUGUGCCGUGCCGAAGCCGCCAUUGACGACGAAUCGGAGAAGUUAAUCUCGAGCGGCGCGGCGGUGUUGCGUCGGAACGAGAAACGCACAUCAUCGCAUCACCAUAUUCAUAAUGAUGACGUGUUCUUCGGAGACGAUCAACAUCGCUGCGAGAACUCAGAAACUCGAUGUUGAUAAUCGGAUUUCGCUGCGUUUCUACUACAGGAUCGCUGAUAAUAUCCUCAAACAGGCUGAUAUUUUUCGCGCAGAGAAAAAUGUUGUUGAUCUAUAUGUCAUGCUCCUAAGAUUUUCUAGUUUGGUCUCUGAAACAAUACCACGGCACCGAGAAUAUAGAACAUCUCCACAAAGCAAGAAAGAGUUAUUGAGAAAGGUUAAUUGAUCAUAGUCUAGAUGACUUUCUCAAGACGUCUAGUGGAAAAUUCUUUAAUGGAACAAGUUUGAAAUAAAUGAAUCUCAUCUCCAAAGCAGAGUUAUUAAUCCCGGCCGCUCCGGCCGCUAUCCCGGCGCUCCGUAGCGGAGCAGCACCCUGCCGCGCGAUAUGAAGGGUGCGGAGCAGGAGAUGAGAAAGCGGCCGCUUCAGCCGCUAUACCGGGUUCCGAGUCGUGGAAAAUUCCCGGGCGGAGCGGCUCCGGUUCUUUUUUACCUUUUUUUUACAAUUUUCUGGGCAAAAUUAACAAAACACCCCUGUGCAAGAGAGAGGUUGAAGAAGAAGUGAAAUCUGAUUCGUAGAGAGAGUGAGUGAGUGAGAGAGGUUGAAGAAGAAGUGAAUUAGGGUUUCCCAAGAUAUGAUUCAUAGACUGAGAAUGAGAGAGAGACGCAAAGCGAGAGAGAGGUUGAAGAAGAAGUGAAUUAGGGUUGAUUGGUUGAAGAAGUGAGAUCUGUGCCGCCGUGGAGUUAGAGAUAAUUAGGUUAACAUACUGUAUAUGUUUUUGACCGGUAGUGGUAGUGUACUAACUAAGUAUCAAUCUUAUUAUAUAUUUAUUCAAAAAAAUCAUAUCUUAUAUUAUUUCCUAUUUUUUAUAACUAAUUUUGUAUCUAUCUAUUAUCUUAAGAAAAUAUAUAAACAAAUUAUAUAUUUUUUGAGUCUAUUUAUUAAAUAUUUAACUUAUUUAUUAAAAUUAAAUUUAAUUUGAAUCUUUAUGUUUUGAAUCUUAAUUAAGCAUUAUUCUUUGUUUCACAUUAUAUUUUAUAAAUAUUUUAUGAGUGGUUUAUAGAUUAUUAUAUAAUUAUUAGUAUACAAAAAUUUAUCCCGCUAUCCGGGAUGCCGCUAUUCCCACUAUUCCCAUUCCCGGAGGUUGGCCGCUCCGCUCCGCUCCGCUAUCCGGGAUUAACAACUCUGCUCCAAAGUCAAUAGAAAUUGAUCAUGAUUUCUUGUUUGAGGUUGACAACAAUGUGUUUAACUCAAGGGAUCCUCCAGAAGCUAUGUUCUUCUAUACUGACAGAUGCUUCAAGAAUAAUGAAACACCAAGUAUUUCUCCUCAAACUGUAAGGCUAUGUUUGGGAGUUUGGAGGGAAGGGGAGGGGAGGGCUUUGGAAAAUAUGAAGAAUUUGAUGAAAAGGAUAAAAAGAUUUUGGAUAGGUGGGUUUUGGAGGGUUUGAGUUUAUUCAUAACACCAAAAAUCCCAUAAAAUGAGGGAACUCAAAAAUUGUAUUGAAUGAGGGUUUUGGAGGGUUUUGAAGGGCUUAUAUAAAUAUUCCAAAUAUCUUUUAGGUUGUUAUAGUAUUCUGAAAAUUAAAAAUUUACUACUGAUAAUGACUCUUUUAUCAUUCUAAACAAAAUCAUUUUUUAAAAAAAUGUCAAAUAUUUUCCUAUAUUUUUUAAAAUUUUCAUUUUUGGAAGCCUUCCUCUCCCCUCCCCUCCCCUCCAAACUCCCAAACAUAGUCUAAAAGUUCUUCUCCAAGACAAAUUCAUGAGCCAGAAGAAACUGUUGAGCCUUUGGUUAGGAACAAGAGAAGAAUCACUUAUUAUUCUAAUGAAGGACCUUCUAAUUCCUCCAAACCUUCUGAGUCAACGUUUUAAGAGUUUCUGAAUGAACCAGUUGAUGAAUUUGAGGACCCUGUUCCUUCUUCUGCAAGUAAGUCUCUCGCAUACCUCAUUUCAAAAUGCUAAUUUUAAUUCAUCAAUAGUACCCAUACCCACCCUCCCUCCAUUGUUCCUUAUAAUCUAACAUACCUUACAACACAAGAGCAAUUUACACUUGAAGCUAGGACAAUGCAUUGGCUCAUCCACUUUUGUUCUGUAAUUAAACUUCUUUUAUAGGAGAUUUGAAUUAUACCCCAUAAAUGUUUGUAACCCCUACACCAGCAACAUCAACAUCAGUUCAGAUUUGCUCAGAGUACAAAAGUUCAAGUGUGUAAGAAUUUGACCAUGUAUUUUAAUACAUCAUCUUUUAUUUUAUGCUACAACAACUUUAGGACUUCUCUCAUUAUUUUUAUUGUUUUUAGUAUAUUUUUAAAGUUAAGUUUAAAUUUGUUUUUAUUUUAUUUUUGUUGUUUAUUUUCAGAAUAUGUUGUAUUUUGACACCUUCUCAAUGUGAAGAUUAUAACUAGAGGUACGAGAAUCUAAUUGACGCGUUCUAUUAUGCAUUGAAAAGCUAAGACAAAAAUCUACAUGUUUUAUAUUAACGUCAGAAGCCAAUUGUUAGCGCGUAUGUGUUAAAUUAUCAAAUUAUGUUCCAUACUUAGUAAAAAUAAAUUAGCUAGCUCUCAGACAAAGUUAUGUUUGGUGGGCCGGUUGUAAAAUUCCAAUUCUAGUUAUUACUUAGGUAAAUUCGAGCAUUAGGGAAAAGUGAGUCAGUUAAUCUAUUAUUUCAGAAUUUCAUCAAGACUUUAAGAUUAUUAUAUUAUCAAUAUUUAUUCAAUUCAAUUCCUUUCAGCUAUUGUUUGCUUAAUUUGAGUUGCAUAUAAUAGUGUUAACUAAAUAUUAUCGAUGAUGUUCUUUAAAUUGUGUGUUAACUUAGCUUAUUCGUUAGCUUUGUUAGUCUUCA